UACGGAGGAUCCAAGCGUUAUCCGGAAUCAUUGGGUUUAAAGGGUCCGUAGGCGGUUUAGUAAGUCAGUGGUGAAAGCCCAUCGCUCAACGGUGGAACGGCCAUUGAUACUGCUAGACUUGAAUUAUUAGGAAGUAACUAGAAUAUGUAGUGUAGCGGUGAAAUGCUUAGAGAUUACAUGGAAUACCAAUUGCGAAGGCAGCUAGCUACAGGGAUAUUGACACUGAGGCACGAAAAGCGUGGGGGAUCAAAACAGG
rnacentral:rRNA from 1 species